CUUGAACUAUAUAAGAGGUCCAGCCUGCCCAGUGACUCUGUUCAACGGCCGCGGUAUCCUAACCGUGCGAAGGUAGCGUAAUCACUUGUUCUUUAAAUGUGGACUAGUAUGAAUGGCACCACGAGGGUUAUACUGUCUCCUUUUUCUAAUCAGUGAAACUAAUUUUCCCGUGAAGAAGCGGGAAUAAAAAUAUAAGACGAGAAGACCCUAUGGAGCUUUAAACAACCCAGCAAUUACUUCUAAAAUUCUAAAUUUCAGAAUAUUCAUUUUCUAAGUAAUAUGUCUGCAAGUUUUUGGUUGGGGUGACCAUGGAGAAUAACACAACCUCCAUAUUGAAUGAAUUCCCUUCUAAGCUGAAAAUUACUUAUUGAAGCAUCAACACACUGACAUCUAUUGACCCAAUAUAUUUGAUCAACGAACCAAGUUACCCUAGGGAUAACAGCGCAAUCCACUUCAAGAGCCCCUAUCGACAAGUGGGUUUACGACCUCGAUGUUGGAUCAGGGUAUCCCAGUGGCGUAGCC
rnacentral:rRNA from 1 species